UAGACCUUUAUAACCCAAAUUCAAGAUAAUUUCGGGGGUUUUUGCUGAAAUUCGAGGUGUUAAUUGAUGCUGGAUUCAAGAAUUUCAUUUUGGAAUAUUGUUGUUUUUAAUGUUGUAAUUUUUUUUUGUACUGUAUAAUUCAUUGUAAUUUUUUUUUGUACUUAAUACUUCAUUGUAUUUUUUUAUAAUUUACAAUAACAAUCUAUUAUUUGAAUAUAAAUGUGAGUAUAUUUCAUUGCGCUCUUAUAUUGAUUGUGAUGUUAUUUGCCUUAUAUAUUACAGAGUUUUUUUUUAAUUAUUAUUAUUAUUGUAGCAAAUAACCG